CGUCCCUGUCUCCCCUGACACUCGUUCCUCCAGAAGCCCGGUAAACCCCGUCCUUACGAGCCCCGCCCCUAGCUCUUCUACUACGGAGGGGAACUGCAGAGCCAGAAGAGCACGGAGCAGCAACUCGCAGCCCAAUUGGUGACGCUGCAGAAUGAACUGGAGCUGGCGGAGACCAAAUGCGCCUUGCAGGAGGAGAAGCUGCAGCAGGACGCGCUGCAGACAGCGGAGGCCUGGGCCAUAUUCCAGGAGCAGACCGUAGUCCUGCAGGUGCGGCCCCACUCAGACGCCAAGGUGCCUCCCGCCUCUCCUCCCCCAGACCUGGGGCGGUGUGACGGGCAGCUUCGCAGAGUGCAGUACAGCACCGAGUCGCUCAUGGAGGAGAUGGCCAGGGCGGACCGAGAGACGCGGCUGUUCGGCGGUCCUCGCGCGCUGGCCAUCAGGUGAGCAGGGCGGUGGGCGCGGCCGC
rnacentral:lncRNA from 1 species